rnacentral:rRNA from 1 species
UACGUAGGGUGCAAGCGUUAAUCGGAAUUACUGGGCGUAAAGGGUGCGCAGGCGGCGCCGCAAGUCAGGCGUGAAAUCCCCGGGCUCAACCUGGGAAUUGCGCUUGAAACUAGGGUGCUCGAGUGUGGCAGAGGGAGGUGGAAUUCCACGUGUAGCGGUGAAAUGCGUAGAGAUGUGGAGGAACACCGAUGGCGAAGGCAGCCUCCUGGGCCAACACUGACGCUCAUGCACGAAAGCGUGGGGAGCAAACAGG